AAAAACGAAUACUUGGGUUAAUGUACCGGCGCCGAGUAACAAUAGGUGAAAGUUAUCAGAAUUGUAAACAAGGGGAUUCGGGUACAAAUUCCAUUUGUAAUUUAUGCAAUACUACGCCGAUGACUGUACAAGUUUAUAAACAAAAACGAGUAUCUUGAUCUUGAAACAGGUUUUGAUAAUAAAUUUAAUCUUGUGGGUUAAAGUUUUAACCUUCACAUUAGUAUAUCUGUGAUUGCCACGAGGACACGUACUUGAUUACAGACUGUUUUAAGAAAAUGCCAAACAUUAUUUAAAUAUAUACUCGUAUAAUCAAAUGAAAGGGAUAAUACCUCCUGUAUCUUUUUGAAUCUAGCAUAAUGCACAUAAUGAGAACACUGUCAUUCUACCCUAUGAAAUAAUCCAUUCUAAAAUGACAAUGGUAACUAUGGCAACAAUUAUCUGAUGAUUUCCAUGAUGUGCAAAGGAAAAUUAUAAUGUGAACAGUUUGUUUACUAGUCAUAAAUAACGACUGUUAUUUAAAGGUAAAAUCGAUUGUUUCGCAUUUCGACAAUAUUUUGAAUUAAU